AUGAUUUCAUCAGGAAAGAGAUGCAGACGAGAGGAAGAGAGCCUCCCCCAAGCUCUGUCUAGGCGAUGCACGGGCGACGGCCACCCUUCCUGUUAUUGCCUCCAUGGCUGGCUGCUCAUCCCCAGGAACCUCCUCCCCUCUCACGUGCGCCACACUCUGGGAUUAAGGUAUCUAGGGCAGGGCGUGGUCACAUUGCAGGCAGCGAGGAGCAGCGCAAAGUUGUCUUGGCUGUGCCCUGCAUCGAGGAGGAACACAGAUCUUGCCAUCUUUGUUUGCCAGGAUGGAGAGGAGAAAACUGAAAAGGAUGUUGAUAUGAGGAAUCCAAGGAAGUGGAAGAGGAAGAAAGUUCUGAUGAUGAAUAUCAAGUUUGACGACGAUGAUGAUUGGAACCAAGAGGAGGAAGUACAUAAUCAGUUAACAAGUGUUGGCCAUGGUGCAUUGAUCUUAUUUAGUUGUGGUUUUGUAUGCCUCCCCCAGCUGCCGCUAAAACCCACCAAAGAAUUAGCAAGAAAAUUGAUGGAGAUCUUGCUGGUUCUGCAUGGCACAACUGGAUUAAAUAUGCUACAGCAAGCGAAGGAGUUCAACGAUGUUGUUGGAAUCAAAGGAUUCAUCCUAACGAAAUUAGACAGGACUGCUCAUGUUGGCUGUGUGGUGAUAUCAUUUGAUACCAUGCUUGAUUUGUACUACUACUUAAAAAUUAGCUUUCUUGCAGUCAUGGUUGAUUUGCAGGUGCAGUCAACUGAGACAUGGACUCUCGAUUGA
rnacentral:rRNA from 1 species